UACGAAGGGGGCUAGCGUUGUUCGGAAUCACUGGGCGUAAAGCGCACGUAGGCGGAUCUUUAAGUCAGGGGUGAAAUCCCGAGGCUCAACCUCGGAACUGCCUUUGAUACUGGGGAUCUCGAGUCCGGGAGAGGUGAGUGGAACUGCGAGUGUAGAGGUGAAAUUCGUAGAUAUUCGCAGGAACACCAGUGGCGAAGGCGGCUUACUGGUCCAUUACUGACGCUGAGGUGCGAAAGCGUGGGGAGCAAACAGG
rnacentral:rRNA from 1 species